rnacentral:rRNA from 1 species
GACGUAGGAGCCAAGCGUUAUCCGAAUUCACUGGGCGUAAAGCGCGUGCAGGCGGCUCGGUAAGUUGGAUGUGAAAGCUCCUGGCUCAACUGGGAGAGGACGUUCAAUACUGUCGGGCUAGAGGACGGUAGAGGGAGGUGGAAUUCCCGGUGUAGUGGUGUAAUGCGUAGAUAUCGGGAGGAACACCAGUGGCGAAGGCGGCCUCCUGGGCCGUUCCUGACGCUCAGACGCGAAAGCUAGGGGAGCGAACGGG